CAUCCUGCCCUGUCUUCAUGGGUGUCAUCAUCCUCAGGUGGUCUCUGCUGGCGUGGGUAGGCCUCGGGUGAUUGUUGGCACCGGUGGACAGUAUUAUAUCUUUUCCUCCAGACUUUGUUGCAAGUCCUGUCGGAGAAACUGGUUUGCAGACAGUCCCCGGUGGCUGCAAAAGCUGCCCAGCCACUUCACAAACAUUCUGCCUGCAUUCCUGACAUAUAAGAAGGCCAUCUGCAAGUCUGUAAUGGAUGAGCUGAGGCGCACGGGCAAAUCACCAUCAGACAUGGCAAACCAGGUGAAUGAACUCAUGCAUCUCAAAUAUGAGCGAGCUCACCUGGCAUACCUGCAGGCAAUCGAGAGCGUUUGGGAUGCUGAGGCAGGGGUUCAUGGACAGAAGACCAUUGGGCAGUUUGUGAGAAAGGACAAUGCACCACGUCCUUUUGGCUCAUAUGAAGAUGUCAGUGGGUGGUGUGGAAUUUCUGUUUCCAGCUUCUACCUCACUGACUGUCUGCUGGAAGAGUACAGACGCCAAGAGCCAGUCAUGUCCAGGCUCCUUCAAGGAUCUUUUGGGCAGAUCUUCAGGUCUGACCACACCAGAAAAGUUGCACGCAAAGUGACACUUGCAUCAGGGACAAUGUCUAGCUUUGCAAUCAUGAACGAAAACUGGUUGAUUUGAUUGUUUCCUGGGUGAUGGUUCAGUCUGAGGCUGAGAGGUCCUUGCAGCCGAUGUACGAGGGAGUGGCCAGGAGGUACGCUGAAGCUGAAGUGGAGAAGGCAGGCUACCACUGGGUGGACAGGGAUUGCUGUGCUUCUUUCAAGAUCCCAGACUCCAUCCCUGGUGAACAUUUACUCUGGGAUGCUUGGAAGACAACCCCUGCCAUUGUGAAUGCUGCUACCUCUGGACCCCUGGCUAAUACUAGUGCCUCUCGAUCCCAUUACAACCCCAACAUUGCCAUAAAACUGGACUUGUUUCACUGCCUCAGGCGCUUUUCACGGGAGUGCACGUCUGAGCAUCACCCCCUCUACAGCAGUUUCUGCCAGCUUCUCUCUGCUGCCUUCUCUGUGGUGGAUCAGGAGGACCUCAAGAAGCUCCGGGACGCCUACGAAUUCUGUGGUAUCCGGCCAGCCAAUCCCACCAAACAACACAUACGGGAGCACUGCAGGACCAAGAUACCACAGCCCACACAGCUCCUGGACAGAGUGGAAAAGGUGAUCAACCAUUUUCAUCUGGCCAAGGAUCCAAAUGAUGUCCCUCUGUUUAAACCCUCCAUGCUGAAGACGUGGCGCAUACAGCGAGUGCAUAUUCUCCGUGGAUGCCUCAGUGACCCUGAAAUCUCCGAGAGGAUCAUGUACAGAGGUACAUCACAACAAGAGGGGUACCAUUUCCACCAGGCCCAGUGGAUCACUGGAACCCAUGCCUCCACUGAACUGUUUCAGGCGCAGGCAAUGACAGGAGUGGCAAGAUGGAACUACCAACGACUGGUGGACCUUAAGCGACCAGACAUUGUCCUGCCAGCUGUAUUUGAUCCCGCUUUAAUAGCUGAAUUAAACAGCUCUUACAAGAGAGUGACUGGACAGGAGAAAUAUCCCACUCUCAGAGUCUCUGACAGGGACACCGGCGAAAGAUUUGGACUUGAGUACAUAGAGCCAGGCUGCCGACCGGUCCCUCUUGACUGGGACAAACACAGGACUCAGAAGAGAGGUGAAUCAUCUGCUCCAUUCCUGCUUCCUGUGCAUUCAUCCAUCUCGGCUCAAGUUCCAACUCCAGCGUCAACCUCCAACUUGGGUUCAGCUCCAUCUGUCAGCCCUCUACUCUCUGCUGGUGACCUCCUGAAAGAAGAUGUCCAGGAAUUUCUAGCCACACCAGAUCUUUCGUGUGCUCCACCUCUGCCUCUGAGAGCCUACCCAAGUAGCGCCCACGUCGGACCCAUAAAAACAGGUGGACGGGUCUUUGUGUUGGAUCACACAUGCUGGACACUGCCCAUGAAAGAGGCCAUUGAUGACCUGCUGCAGAAGCACCGUGGGGACAAGGAGAUGCUGAAGCUUGUGGAUCAGGAAUACGCAGCCAUUGUUCAUCGAGCUGCUGCUGAUCCAAACAGCCUUCUGCAUCCUACCACCAGACUGCACAUCUCCCGCUACGUGAAGCACCUGGUGAAACUGCUCAACACCAGUUCUUCUUUGAACAUAAGCCCAGAGAAACUGAGGGAUACACAACAACUGUGGCACUCUUUAACAGAGGGGAGUGAGUCAUCCCAUGUUCCUGUGGUCACUAUUGAGCCAGCUACUUUCAACCCUCCUGCACCUGCUUUGUCCUCACCUCUGACUCAACACUCUCUGGAAAAAAAUCGUAGAGGGCAUUUUGAGCAAACAGCAGCAGCAGCUCCCGCCAGGGCAAAAGAAAAGACAGAAAAAGACCUGUCUUUCCUGCGGACAGCCAAAGUCUCGAUAUGAAACUGAUGGAUCCUCGAUCCACUUUUUCUAUCAACAGGGGCCUGUGCGGUAUUUUUACUGCUCACAAAAGGUGCACCAGAGCUAUGCUGCUGAAGGACUCUCUAACCCUAAAAUGUCCUUUGAAGAUUUUUCAGCCACUGACUUUUUUCAGAGAGAACUGGACGCAACCAAGACGCGAGUGCAGGAGAAGACCGAAAAGAAAAGGCAAAGGACAGAAUUGGCACCAGCAGGCCGUCUCUGUAGGUUCUGUCACAUGGAGCUGAAACAGGGACCCAACAGCCCACACAUCCACACAGGAUUCCCCGGAGUGGCAGGAAAAUAUAUUUACUGUCCCUCCAAGGUGUUCGCUCUUUACCAAAGCCAGGGAAUGGUCAAAGAGAUGAGCUGGAAGGAGUUUAGCAAGUCUCCUUUCUACGAGGCGGAAAAACAAAGAUGGGUGGAGGAAAAGAACAAAUGAACAACUUGGGUUUAUUUAGUUCAUUAGUGUAUUUAUGUAAAUAGAAAAUGUUGUAAAUCCUCAGAGGAUUGUUUCAUUGUUUUUUUUAUCCUCUCUAGGUUACUGAUCAGAUGUAAAUUUGCAAGUGUAAGUUUAACAUCUGUACUUAUGUUUAUUUUGGUUUGUCACAGGAACAUUGGGACUAGUUUGUUUCUUUCUUUGUAUAUAAUGUAUAUUGUGUUUCUGUUAAAAUACCGUCUGGUUCAUGUUAAAUAAAAAAAAACAAAUUGUUCUAUCAUUAAUUGCACCAAAAUGUUAUUUAAAUUGUUGCUUACAGCAGCUACUUGUACAUAUCAACAUCUGCUGGCUCAGUUUGUCUGGAGCAACACAUAAACAAACCUUGCACUUUACUGUUGAAGUUUUGGAUUUAAUGACGAUGACCCUCAAUUUCACCGUAAGAGCUUGUGCCUCUAUCAAGGGGGCUGCUAAUAGCAAAAUCCAUGUUAGAUCUCCGUCAAAGCUGCUUUGGCCGUUUUAUCGCUGUUAAGCUAGCUUGCAUUAACUGUUAGAACAGGAAAUAGACCCUUCAAAAUAAAAGCAUUUCAUUCGAACCGGAAGUUAAUAAAACGGAUUAUAAAUAAAGGCAAGUUGUGCCAAAUUAAAAUACAAGCAAAAGAAGAUGUCAUUUUGGGGUUAGUUACAAUAACAAUAAGAAUUAUCAGUUUCAACGUUGAAUAUCACUCUGUUCGCUGUGGGUAAGAUGUCCUGUCAUGGAAAACCUCUGCUGUUAGAAAUAUUCAUGUUGUAUUUUGUGCUGAUUUUCCCUCUGGGAAAUCAAUUUCCCUCUGGGAUUAAUAAAGUAUUUUUGAAUUGAAUUGAACUGAAUUUGAAUUAAGUUAACCAGAGUGUUUGCAUUUAUUUUAGCAAUGGAGGAAAAAAAGUCUUCAUGUUCCACCAGUAGGCAACCCCUAAACAUUUACCAGAACUUUCUUGGACGGGGCACCUAUGGCUGUGUGUACAAACGUUUUGACCAAGCAGCAAACUGCUUUCGUGCCAUCAAGAAAUUCACGAGUGAGAAGGCAUUUAAAAAGGAGGUGAGGACAUGAUCUUUGUGUUUCAUAAACAUUUACAGUCAAACUGCAACUCAUGUCAACCUUUUUGUGCCUUUUUAGUUAAAAAUGCUGACAUAUCUAAUGGAGAACAAUCUGCAUGAGCAGAACAUCAUCAGGCUUUUUCAUUCAGACCUGAAACAUUUGAGUCUGGCAUUGGAGCUGUGCAGCAUCAGUCUCGCAGAUUAUAUCAAACAACUUGAAACACCAAUGCCUCUACAGGACAUCAGAAUAGUCAUCCAGCAAGUAUGGCACCUUCAGAGGAAACAAGAUUCCACACAUUAACAGAUUUUUAAUUUCCAGAUUUUCUAUUUUUGACCAUUGUUUGCAGCUGGCGACUGCCUUUGAUGCAUUGAAGAAGGUUGGAGUUAUCCACACUGAUGUGAAAACGAACAACAUCAUGUUGGUGGAUCAAAUGAUAAAGCCUCUGCAGGUCAAGCUGAUUGACUUUGGCUUGUCUGUCUUCACAAAGGAUGCCAAGUUCAUCAGAGUCAAUCAGGUUCUUCGUUACAAGUAAGAUUUAUGUUAACUCUGAUGGUUUUGUUUUUUAAGCAAACACAUACAAAGCACGGCCCCCACUUGCAUUUCUAGAUCGAUUUGUUUAUUUUUGCUGUUGAUGAUUGAUCAAACAUUUAAAUCUCAGGGUUUUCCCCAUUUGCAUGUUUUAGACAUACCCCUGACCCAAUUACCAUAGUUAGUAUUUAAUCUAAUUUAAUAAAAAUAGAAUACUUGAGCCCCGUGAAGACCAUUAAGGGUGAUUGUUACGUCCCUUCCUGAACGUCUAGGAGGAUGAGGGGACUAACACAGAAAAAUAGGUGGACGUGUGUGUGUGUGUGUGUGUGUGUGUGUGUGUGUGUGUGUGUGUGUGUGUGUGUGUGUGUGUGUGUGUGUGUGUGUGUGUGUGUG
rnacentral:lncRNA from 1 species